rnacentral:rRNA from 1 species
UACGUAGGGGGGCAAGCGUUUGUCCGGAAUCAUUGGGCGUAAAAGCGCGUGUAGGCGGCUCGAUAAGUCUGCUGUGAAAGUCCAAGGCUCAACCUUGGGAUGCCGGUGGAUACUGUCGAGCUCGAGUCCGGAAGAGGAGUGUGGAAUUCCUGGUGUAGCGGUGAAAUGCGCAGAUAUCAGGAAGAACACCCGUGGCGAAAGCGGCUCUCUGGAACGGUACUGACGCUGAGACGCGAAAGCGUGGGGAGCGAACAGG